GGGGUGAUCGUGCAAUUCGGCGGGCAGACGCCGCUCAAGCUGGCGCGCGGGCUGGAGGCCGAGGGCAUCCCGAUCCUCGGGACCACCCCC
rnacentral:tRNA from 1 species